AGUGAACGCUGGCGGUAGGCCUAACACAUGCAAGUCGAACGGCAGCACAGUAAGAGCUUGCUCUUACGGGUUGCGAGUGGCGGACGGGUGAGGAAUACAUCGGAAUCUACUUUUUCGUGGGGGAUAACGUAGGGAAACUUACGCUAAUACCGCAUACGACCUACGGGUGAAAGCAGGGGAUCUUCGGACCUUGCGCGAUUGAAUGAGCCGAUGUCGGAUUAGCUAGUUGGCGGGGUAAAGGCCCACCAAGGCGACGAUCCGUAGCUGGUCUGAGAGGAUGAUCAGCCACACUGGAACUGAGACACGGUCCAGACUCCUACGGGAGGCAGCAGUGGGGAAUAUUGGACAAUGGGCGCAAGCCUGAUCCAGCCAUACCGCGUGGGUGAAGACGGCCUUCGGGUUGUAAAGCCCUUUUGUUGGGAAAGAAAAGCAGCAGGUUAAUACCCCGCUGUUCUGACGGUACCCAAAGAAUAAGCACCGGCUAACUUCGUG
rnacentral:rRNA from 1 species